rnacentral:rRNA from 1 species
GGCGGAUUAGUGGCGAACGGGUGAGUAACACGUGAGUAACCUGCCCUUGACUUCGGGAUAACUCCGGGAAACCGGGGCUAAUACCGGAUAUGAGCCGUCCUCGCAUGGGGGUGGUUGGAAAGUUUUUCGGUCAGGGAUGGGCUCGCGGCCUAUCAGCUUGUUGGUGGGGUGAUGGCCUACCAAGGCGACGACGGGUAGCCGGCCUGAGAGGGCGACCGGCCACACUGGGACUGAGACACGGCCCAGACUCCUACGGGAGGCAGCAGUGGGGAAUAUUGCACAAUGGGCGAAAGCCUGAUGCAGCGACGCCGCGUGAGGGAUGAAGGCCUUCGGGUUGUAAACCUCUUUCAGCAGGGAAGAAGCGCAAGUGACGGUACCUGCAGAAGAAGCGCCGGCUAACUACGUGCCAGCAGCCGCGGUAAUACGUAGGGCGCAAGCGUUGUCCGGAAUUAUUGGGCGUAAAGAGCUCGUAGGCGGUUUGUCGCGUCUGGUGUGAAAAC